UCUUUGGUUAGAUUAUGGUCAACGUACCUUUCAUCAUUUGAAAAUGCAUGUUUAAGAUAAACACUGUACCAUGCAAAUAUUAGGCAUUUCUCCAGUAAAACAACGAGCCAACGAUUAUUGUUUGAAAUUGAUAUGUCAAGAAAAAUUGCAUAUUAUUUUACAUGUAAUGGCGUUUUUUUUUCCUUUUUUAAAAGACUAAAAAUUAAAAUUACUCAAAGUUAAAGAAAUAGGAAAUUCUCAGAUAAAAUUAAACAUAUUACGACGAUUUAACAUAAAUAUCAUCAAGUUUAUCAUCAAUUUAUUUGAAUAUCAAUUGUCUUACAGUUUGAAUAUUUUCAAAAUAUUUUCUUGUGUUAGUCUUUUUGCAAGUUGUAAUCAUUGAAAUGUCUAAUUAAGUUUAGAUUGUUUUGAGGAGUUACUUGACGCUUUAUAGAGAAGAUUUUGGAAAAUUAGUUCAUAACUAGCUCUUGUCCCUUGAUGUAAAUAGGUUUAUUUGUUUCUUUGAAAAUAUACACACAGUUUUAAUUUGUGUUGUCGUUGCUCCUA
rnacentral:lncRNA from 1 species